rnacentral:rRNA from 1 species
AGAGUUUGAUCCUGGCUCAGAACGAACGCUGGCGGCGUGCUUAACACAUGCAAGUCGAACGGGAUCCAGAGCUUGCUCUGGUGAGAGUGGCGCACGGGUGAGUAACGCGUGGAUAACCUGCCCUGGUAUCCGGAAUAACAUCUCGAAAGGGGUGCUAAUACCGGAUAAGCCUACGGAGCCCUCGGUCUCUGCAGGAAAAGGUGGCCUCUAUUUAUAAGCUACCGUAUCAGGAUGGGUCCGCGUACCAUUAGCUAGUUGGUGGGGUAAUGGCCUACCAAGGCGACGAUGGUUAGCUGGUCUGAGAGGAUGAUCAGCCACACUGGAACUGAGACACGGUCCAGACUCCUACGGGAGGCAGCAGUGGGGAAUUUUGCGCAAUGGGGGAAACCCUGACGCAGCAACGCCGCGUGAGUGAUGAAGGCUUUCGGGUCGUAAAGCUCUGUCAGAGGGGAAGAACCGCCGGGUGGCUAAUACCUGCCUGGUCUGACGGUACCCUCAAAGGAAGCACCGGCUAACUCCGUGCCAGCAGCCGCGGUAA